UACGGAGGGUGCAAACGUUGUUCGGAAUUACUGGGCGUAAAGCGCACGUAGGCGGCUUUUUAAGUCAGAGGUGAAAGCCCGGAGCUCAACUCCGGAAUUGCCUUUGAGACUGGAUCGCUUGAACGUCGGAGAGGUGAGUGGAAUUCCGAGUGUAGAGGUGAAAUUCGUAGAUAUUCGGAAGAACACCAGUGGCGAAGGCGGCUCACUGGACGACUGUUGACGCUGAGGUGCGAAAGCGUGGGGAGCAAACAGG
rnacentral:rRNA from 1 species